CAACGCCACGUGUGUGAUGAAGGUCUUCGGAUUGUAAAGCACUUUCGACCGGACGAAAACCCUGAGGCUAACAUCCUCAGGCUUGACGGUACCGGGAGAAGAAGCACCGGCUAACUCUGUGCCAGCAGCCGCGGUAAUACAGAGGGUGCAAGCGUUGUUCGGAAUUAUUGGGCGUAAAGCGCGUGUAGGCGGCUUUGCAAGUCGGGUGUGAAAGCCCUCAGCUCAACUGAGGAAGUGCGCCCGAAACUGCAGAGCUUGAGUGCCGGAGAGGGUGGCGGAAUUCCCCAAGUAGAGGUGAAAUUCGUAGAUAUGGGGAGGAACACCGGUGGCGAAGGCGGCCACCUGGACGGUAACUGACGCUGAGACGCGAAAGCGUGGGGAGCAAACAGGAUUAGAUACACUGGUAGUCCACGCCGUAAACGAUGAGAACUAGGUGUCGUGGGUGUUGACCCCCGCGGUGCCGUAGCUAACGCAUUAAGUUCUCCGCCUGGGAAGUACGGUCGCAAGACUA
rnacentral:rRNA from 1 species